rnacentral:lncRNA from 1 species
AGUCAGGCACACAGGUGGUGGUGCUGUGUGUUUCCUAUCCUCCCCUGACAUGAUUUCAAAGCCCAGAAAAACCAGAAGGCCUAGAGGAAUAAUCAGCCGUCAGAGAAUGGAGUGGAGAAAGACAAAGGUGAAUGCUGAGUGGCGAAUGACCACUUAG